rnacentral:lncRNA from 1 species
CAAAAUUGUACACAAGACACAACAAAAACAACCUAGAAAAGAAAAAAUUUAACGCAGAAAACAUAAACUAACAAAGAAAAAUCAGAGUCUCCCCCAAUAGACCACACUUAAACUACACAAUGUCCUCAGUGUGUCACAAUCAUCAGAUCAGAAAUCAAAACAAUCAACAGAUCAUGGACAAGUGCAAUAAAAGCGGGAAAGGGAGGAGAAGGGAAAAGAAAAACUCCCCUGAUCAUGGUGGCAGUUGCCAAUUUUGGACUUUCAAGGAGAGGUCUUCCAC